ACUUAAGAAAAAUUAUUGACACGGUAGACACACACAGACCUGUUUUGCUUCUAUAAAUGUGAAAUGUCUUUUGGGAGAGAUUGUCAAAAGCUUAUGUGGGAUUUAGGAGCACACAUUAGUGGGCUUUGGAAAAGUGUGUAUCUAUCUUAACUCCUUUCUAGCUGUAUGAUUGAUGGUUUUAUACAAGGCAGUACUUUUGUUUCAGUUUCUCCAUAGCCUGGCAGAUUGGCCACUGAGAGAACUGAGCUGCCAGUCAGCUCAGAUGAUGGCAGAUAAGGUAGACUUAGUUAUUGUGUUUGUAACCAAGACCUAUCCCGGAUCUUUCACAUACUAAUGUUUUUCCAUUUUGCUCACUCAGGUCACCUAACACUUGGCACUCACUUGUCACAGAAAGCUGCUUUUGAAAGUUAAGUUUUUAAAGGGUGUUUCAGGAAUCCAGAAUUGAAGAAACAAACAGAAAAAGGACAAAAUAUACAAUUAAGGCAUUUUCUGAGUUGCCAACAAUACAGAGGAUGCUUGUGUUAAAAUAAAGUGCCCAGGGUAAAAAAGAAAAAAGCAGUUUAUGAUUUCAUUGUAGGAGCUGGACUUCCAAGUGAAUUAAUUGAAACUGGACAAUAUUAGCCAAAAGGGAGAGCAUAAAUUACUAGCUGGAAGGAAAUGAAGGGACAAAGGGAUGAGAGUGCUGGGGACUAGUCAGUACUACAAUAGAAACAAAGACAAAAACAAAAAACAAAAUCUAUAGCUGUUCUGCAGAGCCAGCUUUUGUGGGUAGAGAGAAAUAAGACAGAAAGGCUUACUACUUUUGUUUUGCCAGUGGUUAUUCACAGUUGUGCAGAAAUCACAGAGAACAGAUUUGGAAAGACUUCUGAUGGCCAGUGAAGUUUCUUAAUUAUGAUAGGCAACAUGUAGGCAUAACCACCUGCAUUUUCCAUCUGUAAUAGUUUUAUUCUGUUGAAGGUAGUGACCAUUUUAUAGUAGAUUCAAUUGCUGUGUGCUCCAGAAGUACAUUUACACGUGAACAUGGUACAUUCUUUUUCAUAGAAACUUCAGUCUUUCUGAGUGCUUCUAAUCUGAAAUGAUUAUGAUUUAGAUUGCAAAAUGCUCUUUUUAUGAAGUAACAGGCAGACUUCUCUUUAAAGAAGUAGUAGAGUAGUUAGGUAAAGGUAGUUUAAAGGUAGUUAUUACCUACAGACUGCAACAUUUGAAUGAGAGUCUGUAAAUCUAACAUACCUUGCCAUUUCACAAGGAAAAGAAGAUCCAUACAUUUAAAGGGUAUUAUUUAGAUGUGGAAAGGCUGACCUGACAUAGUACAGGAAAUUCUACUAAUGAUUUUUUCUGUAAUGUUUUUUAAGCACAACGUAACAUAAAAAAAAAAUAAAAUAAAAAAUUAACCUAUUGUCUCCUUUACAGGUGCCUGCUUAAAACAUUUAGCAUAUGCUUCAAAAUCCUUUGCUGUGCAGAUUUUCCUUAGUCUUGGGUGAAUAUGCCUUUUAAUUCACAGCCAACAUUCUUACUGCAGAAACCAGCUCAUCUGCGUUUUGGACCUCUGACUUCUGCUGCAACUAUUCAAUCUGUCUUUCUGUUUCUGUACGUGACAUUUUCUGCCCUUUCAUUCAUUCCAAAUAGAUAUUCUCUUUAACCUUGUGGUACCAAAACAUUUCAUUGUAUGUGAAAGUAAUGGCAUUUGGUAAUUGGCAAUGCACCAAGUGGUAAAGGGCACCUCCAGUAAUUUACUUGAAUGCUGUCUGUAUGAAAGCUGAAAUAAUGUGAUUCUUCAGCACAGGGGUAGGAGCUUACUAACAGUACCUUCCAAGCCAUUAGUGUAAAGACACUGAGAGCAGGCUGCCUCAGCUCUUUGUACUUUCCCUUGUACUGCAUUAUUUAUAAUUCUUAAUCAACACCUAUUGAUACAGAGGAUAAGUAGAAAAGGUUUAAAAGGGCUUGCAAGAAUGUUUCAUAGUUGUUUUCAUUGGCUAGGGAAUAUGGUAACAUGACUGUAACUCUAAAUUUCCAUAUUUUAUUACAAAUAGUCAGGAGGUUUUAGGAUUAUUAAUUAUUUUCUGUCUACAUACUUGAAAGUUCAAAAUCUUUCAUGUGAUUAAAUUGUAGUUUUCUGAUCAAUCCACAGUAUUAUCCUUAUCCACAUACAAUAGACAGAUAUGUAUUAAAAAAAAGAGUGAAUAUUUGUGUAUAUGAGAGGGUGUGUGUACAAGCAUCACUGUAGAUUAAAAGCAGUGCAAACCAUUGGGUUGUGUGCACAGCUGGGAAUUAGAAAUUAAAAAGCAUGUAAUUAUUGAAGUGUGCAAUUCACCACAUGACUUAAUAUUAAUUUACUAGCGUGUCCUAGCUUCUUCAAAAUGAAAUGAGGAAUACUUCUGUGGAAAAUUCUGAGCUCUUUAGAUUUUUGUUCCAUGCAAAGCAUGGCAAGCUGACACAGGGAGAUAUGCAGCUGCUGUUACUCUCUUCUGUUGAUAUAAAAAUGUAAAGGUUCAUUUAGGUCAAAUCUAUCAUGAUUAAAUCAGUCCUGUUCACCUUUGUAGGCAUUACUAUCCAACCACUAUCAAACCUGACGCUGGGUUUAUGUUUUUGAGGAAGUUGCAGGCCAGAAUUACCUGCCUAAACCAAAGCAGAAGGGAGUAAGGAGAGAGGCACAGGAAUAGGAAGACAGCUGUGCAGCUGGGCAGGUGACAGCAGCACUGAGACUGAAGGGAUGUCACAGUGUCUUCCCCUGACUGAGGGCAGGUCCACUCUCUGACUCAGAUUGUAUUUCCAUGGCUGUGGGUAAGGAAUGAGGUUCCUUGAUUAUUCUGUUUCUCAGUCUUUCCAGUCCUGAAGUCUUUGUCUAGAGCAUGAGUCUACUUCAUGGAAGUAAUAGUUUAGCAUUUUUCCACAUAGCAUUUUGAUCCACUCAGGCUGGAAUCUAUACAGCAAAAAGAGUUAAAUGUGUCUUAUGUCUGCCAAUGUGGAUGUAUGGAGAUAGUAACACCAUUUCUUCUUAGACUGAAUUCCUCUUUUUUUUUUUUUUUCUUUUAACUCUUAACAGUUUUUUGUAAUGUUUGCUGCUGUGAGAGCUGUCUUCAAAGUGCAGAUGAGUUUCACCCAUGCUGCCAGCGUGGCUUUAUCCUCAGCUCCCUUUGAAUUACAUGCUUGUCACUCUGAUAAUAAUUUUCUGGCCUCUGAAUCACAACAUUAAAGCAACUCUGUCUGCUUGGACUCUUAAUGUUAAUAUCAUCUAUACUUAGCUUCUACUAUAAGCCUAAAUAAAGUAAGAUAUAACAAUCAUUAACACACUUUUCCAUUAGCAGCAUAAUUAAUCCUACAAAUACCUGGUAUAAAACUUGAUUUAUUCAAGACAAGUUCAAUGUAUGAAUAAACAGGAUCUGGAUUUACGUCACAUUACACCAAGCUUGAAAUUGGCUCUUAUAUUUCUUUAAUGUCCAACAUAGUUAAACUAAUGAUGGCCUUGCAUCACAUGUUAGAUGGAUAUGCGGGUAUAUGUGUAUAUGGGUGAAACAAAAUUAUUUCUAUCGAAAGAUACUGCACUGUAUUUUUCAAGAGCACUGAAGAACUGCAGGUUGAGGAGGGAAUUUUCUUUAAUUGAAACAUGUUAGGUGUCUCAUGGCUGUUCAGUCAAUGAAUCCAUCAUGAUAGUACUGUCUCCAGGGAAACUUGGAAAGUUAUUACCUAGAAACUCAAUGAAGAUCAAUUAUGUCCUACCACCUGCACACUGAGCAAUACAUUUGAAGAAUGGCAACUGCAUGAAAUGGAAACAGAGUGGCAAAGGAGGUUUUUUUCCUGCCUUAGUAUAUCAGUCAUAGUAAGCAUCUUGUUCUCUCUGUGUCCUAUCUGAUGAAUUACGAUUGGAAAGUGCUUUCAGCACCAGGAAAAAGUUUGUCUUGCUACAAUGCACCCCUUUGCUGUAGGGUGACAAAGUAUCUUUACAACAGUUGGGUCUUUGUGCCUGGGUACCACCAAGAGCAAGCUCAAAGCAAAGAAGGUCCCCCAGUAGAGAAGGCUAAACCCCAGAGUCUUUCUUGGAUGGGCCAGCAAAAAGCUGUCUUAGGUUUGCUUAAUCAGCAAAUGCUGCUAAUUGCCAGCAAUGGGGAGAUAUAGAACCCCCCUUCAGCACAAUAAAGGGAGUUUUUAAAAGGUGUGAGAGUUGCAAGAACUGCUGCAGAAGUGAUUCCUGUAAUGAUUCCUAGAUUUAAUUAUUAUUAAUGACAAUACAGUGCUCAGAGCCAUU
ensembl:lncRNA